GCCAGGUGUGGUGGUGCACGCCUGUGAUCCCAGAGGCUCUGGAGGCUGAGGCAGGAGAAUAAUGAGUUCAAAGCCAGCCUCAGCAAUUUAGUGAGGCACUAAGCAACUCAGUGAGAGCCUGUCUCUA
rnacentral:sRNA from 1 species